UCUAGAGGAGCCUCUUACAAAUGUGGUUAUAAUUCAGGGGCUCUGCUUAGUCUCAGUUUGGUCCACUUUGGGGUGUGUGGUCGCUGUGAUACAAAAGUAACAAAUGCAUCAACACUUCUGGAGCUUCUCAUUGUCCAGACAGCAUUAGGUUCUCUGCUCUAGUUUAAAACGUCGGCUAAGCCUCACUCGGGAACUACAACUCCCAUAAGGCUCCACGCCCUCGCCUUCCCACUCCGCUACUUCGACUCGGAAAGGCGCAGCCCAAGGGGCGGAGCCUCGCGCAAAGGAAGGGACCACAACUCCCAGAGAGCUCCGCGCCCUGGUCGCCUCCGAGACCAAGAUGGC